rnacentral:rRNA from 1 species
AUUGAACGCUGGCGGCAGGCUUAACACAUGCAAGUCGAGCGAGCGGCGGACGGGUGGGUAAUGUCUGGGAAACUGCCUGAUGUAGGGGGAUAACUAGUGUAAACGGUAGCUAAUACCGCAUACCAUCCUUUCUGCCCACAUGGGUUUAUCUAGGGGGUGGGGUAAUGGCUCACCUAGGCGACGAUCCCUAGCUGGUCUGAGAGGAUGACCAGCCACACUGGAACUGAGACACGGUCCAGACUCCUACGGGAGGCAGCAGUGGGGAAUAUUGCACAAUGGGCGCAAGCCUGAUGCAGCCAUGCCGCGUGUGUGAAGAAGGCCUUCGGGUUGUAAAGCACUUUCAUCAGGGAGGCGUUACUCGCACAAGAAGCACCGGCUAACUCCGUGCCAGCAGCCGCGGUAAUAC